rnacentral:lncRNA from 1 species
CCAGGGAUAAUGAGGCCCUCCAUGGGGGACCUUCAAAGUCUGUCACAUCAUUUCGGGGAGGGCCUAGGCCCUCCUUGCUGUAUCUGAGCUGCAACAGUAUCCCUCCAUAGGGAAUGGACUCCCAAAGUCUAUUUGUGCUCUAGGGAUAAAGACUGGCUCCACUUUUAGAGGUCCCAUAGACUGUCUUGACCUCCUAGCUGGCACCCACAUUCAGAGGGCUUGGUUUGUUCCAAUGCUGUUUCCCCAGCUUUAUGACUAGGGUCUCCAUGCUAUCAGUAGGUCAGGUCCACUGAUUCUGCAGGUUUCUCCAACCCCAUCUUGGCUCCUUUGCUCAUCCCUCCUCCCUCUCUACAACCGGAUUCCAGUAGUAUGGUUCAGUGCUUAGCUGUGUGUGCCUGUUUCUGCUUCGAAUAGCUGGAUGAAGGCUCUAGGAAUGGUAACCAAGGUAGUCAUCAGUCUCAUAGGGGAAGGGCAUCAAUGGCAUCCUCCCCACCACUGCCUGGAUUCUUAGUUGGGGUCAUCCCUGUGAAUUCCCCUAACAUUUUCCCUGUGCCAGACCUCUCUCCAAACCUGUGCUGUCUGUCUCCCUCUAUCAAGGCAUCUCCUUUCUUGGGACUCCUUUCUUUAGUUACAAAGGAAAUUGUAAACACCAUCAUCCUGGAACAACAAAAGAUACACAGCACUGUGUCUGGUGCAUAUAUACAUGUGGAAGUGUUUGUGUAUUUGUCUGUAUGUGUGUUGGUACAGGGGUCAGCCUACAUGUAUGUGUGUUUGUGUGUAACUGAUGGCCCAGUGUCCCGCGCUAUCGCCUCGCCAGCAAGAACCACACAGGACACUCGGAUCCUUCUGCAGUAAAGCUUUAAUGCGUCUUGAGAGAGAGAGAGCAUAAGCUUACAAAAGCGGAGACCCCGAGCCAAGAAUCCCGUCCCCUAAUAAAGGCUGGCAGCCGCCGCCUGGGACAUGUCACCCUAUGAUUGGCUGCAGCUCAUCAGGCCAUAUGACGCCAUGGAAUAGGCAGAGAUCAAGGAAUGGAAAAUUACCCAGCGCCUGCACAAUAAUCUUGUUUACAUUCAGUGCCUGCAGGCGCCAUCAUUGUAAUGGAGAAUGCAGGGACGGCUCCCUACAUCUCCCCCUUUUUUUAUUAAUUAAUGAUAAGGCUUUAUAUUUUUACAAGCAAAUAGGUCACCCAUAUGUUGAGGGAUAGAGGCAGAGGUUGUACCUUCCCAAUCAAACAUUAAGACUGUGUACAAGAGUCGCCAUCAGGCUGUUAGCUUGACCCGAAGCACUCUCGACCUGUCCUCUGCCGUUUUUCUGGGAAAGGGAGACUAGGGCAGGCAACCCUUAUGCAGGACAACAUGUCUCCCAGAGAAGCCUGCAUACUGGGCAACUCUCUGUGUGAUGCCUUGCUCAACAUCCCUCAUGGGCUGCUCAAACCAGACAUUCUACCCUGUGCAAUGAGCCUAGGCUCCGGGUGUGCAAGAGCUGUCUGGCCGGCGGCCUAUUGCUUAAGCAUAGUUAGCCAAAUAUCAGUGGAAGCCCCUUGUUCCAAAGCUACAAGCGCUUGGGCGAUAACCACCUUGUCUCUCUUAGUUUGAGCCCUGAGCCUACAGACCAGAGAAGCAACAUCAAUCCGCAGCAAACGGCUGCACCAAACAAUCCCAUCCCCACCCAUUCCUUAAAAUAGGAGACAGCUGAAGCGAUCCAUGAUGACAAUCCCUCCGUCAAGGACAGGAGUUAAUCUGGAUAAUAGUGGCUCUCAACUCCCUGGGAGAGGGUGGAGUUCCAACUUUUGAAGGUCUGAAGGGGCUCUUCGGGUGAGUCUUUCUGGGACCCACAGGGGAUUCUCUUCAUCCUGUGGAAAAACACAUAUAGCUCCCCUGGAUCUUAUGAGAAUAGGAUCCGGGCCUCUCCAAAGACCAGUUAAGAUAUCCUUUGGCCUUUCAGGUUCUGAGGUGUGACGCUUGGCCGCAGUAUGGCCCUGAGCGUCAAUGUUUAGAAAAUUAAGGGUAAAGAGUGCCAUGGAUAUUGCAACUCUUGGCACCGAGGGUAAGGAUACUCCCAUUCCCUCCUUUUGUUUGGUUUUCCCCUGUCAAAGACUGGGAAAGCCAUCUGUAGUUUCCUCCGCUCCUCUAAUGGUAAAAAGGAGUCGGUACCAAAUUUUUGUUGUGACUCAUAUAAUGGGGGUGCUGAUGGAAGUAUACCCGCUGGAUUAAGAGGCGGUGGCCUCAUAUUUGCUUUUACUUUUGGCAGCCGAUAUCUAUCGGGGUGGUAUUUGUCUUUUUUAUAUCGUGCUGCCUCCUCCUUUAGUUCUGCUUCCUCGCUAGAGUCUAAAAUCUCAGAGUCUGAGCUGCUCAGCUCCAAGGCCUCUAGUUUCACCGUAGGGUAGAGGCUAGGUUUUGAGUCUUUAUUUCUCUUAAAUUUACCGGGGUGUGACCGGUUAUUCCCUAUUUUCUCUCCCCCUUUUUUUGUAUCCUGGGGAGGGCCUUUUUUCUUAGACAUGUCCUUCCUUUUUUGAGCUCUUAAUCUCUCAUCUCGUUCGGUUUCUGAUAUAUUAUCCUGUACCUCUUUAAGCGUUUUAAUUAGGUCUCUCUGUUUUGAAGAGCCCAUUAUGCUGGAGGCUACCUGGGGUAAGCUUGGUCUCGAACUGGAACACCAGCCACGGUGGGCAUAAUAUAAGACCAAUGUGAACAAAAGAAGAAUAAAGACUAGAAUUAAGGCUUUUCCAUCCCAUAGUGGUGACAAAUUAAAAACAAAGUCAAAAAAGGUGUCAGAAUAAAGCAUACCUCUCCGAACUUAUCACCCUGCAGUUCUGAAUCCGCCCCGUCCGAGGGGUCUCCGCGGUGCCGGCGAUGUUAACAAGUUCCCGGGUUUCGCACCAGAUGUCCCGCGCUAUCGCCUCGCCAGCAAGAACCACACAGGACACUCGGAUCCUUCUGCAGUAAAGCUUUAAUGCGUCUUGAGAGAGAGAGAGCAUAAGCUUACAAAAGCGGAGACCCCGAGCCAAGAAUCCCGUCCCCUAAUAAAGGCUGGCAGCCGCCGCCUGGGACAUGUCACCCUAUGAUUGGCUGCAGCUCAUCAGGCCAUAUGACGCCAUGGAAUAGGCAGAGAUCAAGGAAUGGAAAAUUACCCAGCGCCUGCACAAUAAUCUUGUUUACAUUCAGUGCCUGCAGGCGCCAUCAUUGUAAUGGAGAAUGCAGGGACGGCUCCCUACAGCCCAGUACUUGUAGCUACAUCCUAAUUAAAG